UAUUGUUGUUUAACAAUGUAUGGCAUGGCACUACAUGAUGCAGAAAGAUAAUUUUCAUUAUUAUUAAUAUAAUUUUUUUAUUAAUAUGCUAUUUAAUUUUAUAAAUGUAAAAUAACCACAAUGCUUUUGAGACAAAUACUAAUAAUAGGUUAUACACUCUUCAUCCUUAUUUUGACUAGGAGCGCCUGCUACACUGUGAUUUCUCCAUAACAAGCACUUAAAUGUGUGGAUGUCUUUUCGAAGAGUUUGGGGUUCACUCUGUUCUUUUGGGAGAUUGGGGGUGGGUUUUUACUACACCAGAUUCUUAUUUUGCACUUUAUUUAAUCUGUCCUUUUGUGCUAAUUCAGAGGUAGGACUACUGUUAUAAUUACUCAAAUCAAUGUUUUUGUUUUCUCAAAUAAAAAUAAGUAAUACAGCCAGUAUAUCAGCAGGAUGCAAUAUAAAUUUUAUUAGCUGUAAUGUUAAGUCCUUAAAUCACCCUGUGAAGCGUAGAAAAGUACUUCAUCAUUUAAAACAACUUAAAGUGGGGAUCGCCUUUCUUCAGGAAACUUAUUUAUGUAAAACAGACCAUUUUAGAUUGAAGUGUGAGUGGGUAGGUCAGUUAUAUCACUCUAAUUUUAAUUCUAAAUCAAGAGGCACAGCCAUUCUUAUUGAAAAAAAGCAUCCCAUUUGAGGCCUCAAUGGUUGAAGCAGACUCUACAGGUCGCUAUGUCAUAGUAGUUGGUAAACUUUACAAUUUAUCAGUUGUCCCUGCUAAUGUGUAUGCACCAAACUAUAAUGAUAGUCUCUUUUUCACAAACAUUUUUUCUAGAUUACCAAAGUUGGAUACACAUCAGUUGAUAUUAGGAGGAGAUUUAAACUGCGUAAUGUCUUCAUUUUUAGACCGUAGCUCUCUUGAAGCUACCAUCCCAUCCAAGUCAGCCAAUACCCCGACAGCAACAUAGUGUCGGCCCAGAUCCGGCCCACAUCUGGUCCGCGUGUAAUCCACAUGUACCAGAUGUGGGCCCGAUCUGGGCCACACUAUGUUGCUGUCUGGGUACCAUUAAAUUAUUCCUCGAUACAUAUGGGAUAUCUGAUGUAUGGCGUUUUCGCAACCCUGGGUCAAAAAGUUAUUCUCUUUUUUUCACCUGUCCAUCACACUUAUUCACGUAUAGACUCUUUUUCUUAGACAAGAAUCUUCUUCCUUUGGUUAGGCAUUGUGAGUAUCAAGCUAUUGUCAUUUCAGACCAUGCCCCACUAACAAUGACACUAUGCAUCCCACUUACAUUUGAUAGAUAUCGUCCCUGGCGCUUUAAUACUUUGUUGCUUUCAGAUGAAGCAUUUCUUAAACUUAUGUCAACGAAGAUAAAAAUAUUUCUUGAACAUAACCAAACCCCGGGAAUGCCAUUUUCAGUUAUAUGGGAAGCAAUGAAAGCAUACUUGAGAGGAGAAAUAAUAUCUUAUAGUUCCCACCAUGGGCGACACAAUAUUUUUCCCUAAGUGAUCUGUCAGCUCCAGUCCACUACACUUUGGAGCGGUUAAGGCCCGGGUAUAUUUCAUUUCCCACGUUCCCCUCCGUCUCGCGCACAGUUGAGCGCGCAAGUCUUUCUAAAAUACUCCUUUACCCCCUGACCGCGCGAGAAAUGUAUCAAAGAUACUCCUUUGCCCAUGAGCGUGGAAAGACGCGUUCGGCACAUGCAAACGCGCACUGUCCGUGGUCAUAAAAAUUCGGCUGCGCGGAGAGUCAAAGCUAGUCCACAGUCUAGUAAACGUUUCUUGCUUGUGCCAAGUGAAAACACGUGAGAAACAUCAUGAGACAUGAGACAUUGCAGUACUGAACACUGAACGGUCCAUGCAUGUGGAUUUGGAUAAAGAGUUAAUCGAUUUGAUGCCGUGCCCGAACGUCGUUUAUCCCUUCACAGUGGCAUAUAGUUGACGGGCAUGCAGAGUUAUUAAAUUAUUUUUUUAUUAUCAUGCUACUUUUAUUAUUAAAUUAAUAUUGCAAUUCAUUUGCCCCGCGAUAUCAUAGCGCAUAACCGACGCACUGCGAGGACAAUAAAAUAUUAGCUUACUCCUCAUUUAAAGAACAACUUGUUUAAAUAGCUUGAAUUGCUUCAUUUAGUAUAUACAUGGAUGUAUGAAUAUUCAAAUUUGUCCCCGUCCACAUUCAUUCACAGCAGCUUGGAGUCCACAAGGUUUACUAUAGUAAAUGCCACACAAUGGCAAGUGGAAAUAUUGUUUUAAUCAAUCCAUGUAUGUUUGAACCUGAAAGUGAUUCAGAGGAAGAAGAUCAAGAGUGAAUUAUUCAGGCUUUUCUACAAGUCCUUGAGUCAGAAUGAUAAUGUGUUUUCUGCAUCGCUCUCGACAGCGUCAGACACAUUGUAGUAUGUCAUGAUUACACACAUAAUGUUGGAUAAUAAAGUGUUACUGUGAUUUAAGGUUGACCUCGAGGACAGUGAUUCAGAACCAGAGAGCAAUGUUACACAGGUUUGUUUGUUAAAUCUCACAAUGGGCCUAAUUUAGCAUUGAACUCUGGUACAUUACAGCUGUAUAUAUCUGGCUUGUUGUUUUCUUUCUGUCGUUGUUAUAAGGAGGACUGAGGGAGAGUCAUUCACAGUCAUAGUACAGGUAUUGUAAGGAGAAAAACCCUCUUCACAUGUUGAUCAUGUACAGUAAAGCAGUUCUGUCAGGUGACGUUAGUCGAGCUCAUAUCAGCUGACCCUCAUGUAGGAGGAUGAUUCCUGUCACAUUUGAACAUGAAAACAUGCGAUUUACCGUGAAACAAGUUUUACUUUACUGUUAGUGAACAGAAUAGUUAUGGAUGGCACUGAUCUACUCUCACUUCUUACUGUGUUAUUCCUAGUGUCAAGAUAGUGAUUUUAAAAGGUUCAAUAUUGUGAAAGAUCCCGUCGAUCAUGUGACUUUCUCUUGAGCCAUGUAGAGUCUGAGGACAGUGACGUCUCGCAGGUUGUUGUCUUGCACCGUACACUUUGUUAAAAAACAUGAAGUUCUUCUGAUAUCACUUUGAAUGCUUCAGGAAAUGUGGAUGGCUUUACGGCAACAGCAGAUGCAGAUUAUGUUUUGUCCCUAAGAUCUGAUCAAGAAAAGAUAGGAUUAUUUUUGGGACAUUAAUUUUAAUAAUCACAACUCAAUCAUUAUUGAUUCAUUUCAAGUGUUUAUGACAUGAUGACAUUUUCCUUGACCUUGAUAAUAUUAGUAAAAAUAAUUGCAUCAAAAGUGUAUUACUUUACAUGUAUACAUGUAUUAUUAUAAUCUCCAUAAUUUCUCAUGAACAGAAACGUUUUGUGUUAGCUUACCAUUAUGUUGUAUUAAGUCCAGUUUAAGGAGAAAAUAGCAAUGGUGUUGAUGUUGAAUUUGCACAUGGUUUGUCUUAAUUAAUCCUUGUCAGCAGAUGUUCUUACAAACUGAAACUAUAUUACAGAUUUCCAGUUAAACGUUCUAAUGAAACUAGAUAAAAUAAUCACAACAAAAGAAGAGCAUUCUCUGCUGAUUCGACGACUGCUGUUGAUAAUUUACCUGAUUUUCUUUCAUUUGAGGAGAAACUGAGAGUGGAUGAGGAGCUCCAAAGAAAAACAGUUAAGAAUCUGACAUUUUAUUUAAUAAAAUACAGCUGAACUGUAAUGUGUAUAUGCAUGUGAUUUGACUAUAGCAUUUAAUUUAAAUUCAGGUUAAAUAUCUUUCUUCACUCGGAGGGCCGAACUAUGCAGAAACAGUGCGGCAAUUGAUGUGAAAAACUGCAACUUCAGAAGUGUGGGCACAGUAUAGUGUCAAAGGAAGGAAGGGGAAGAGGAAACUUGAAGAACUUUGUGUUUACAGAGUUCUACUAAGUAAUAAAUAACAGUAUUUGCAUAUAUUACUGUAAUUUUAAUUAGAUUUAAUUUCCGUAAGCAUUAAAGUGACAGAAUUCUACAUGAUUGGUAAUACAAAAUAGAUGAUUUCCUUGUUGUGUAUCUCUAAAAACUGCACUUGUAUUGUAAAGAUUUUAGGGUCAAUAAUGAACAGCCUGGGUCCACCAGUACGGAUGCUGAAGGCCAUAUUGCAGAGACGCUGAAACAUGCACCAGGCCUGGUCAGGAAGAGGACUAAUCGACCAGUUACCCCACAAUUACAAGAUGGUUCACUGGAUCUCUUUUCAUUAUAAUUUGAAUCAUUCUCAGCUGAUUGCCACUCGUUCACUACACACUGGUUUAUUCUUUCUUUGAUUUGUCUUCUAUUUAGUCUCUUUUGCUAGAUUAUUUUCUCAUGUCUGCUCACACUAACUAGUCACUCCUUGUCUAGUCCCGUCAUGUGAAGCUCUGAUAUGCUUUGUUCUCAGUUUACCUGUGCCUGUGCAGCGCUCUCUGUUCCCCGAUGGUCAACUACACUCCCGUCUGCCAUGAACAGAACCUAUUUUUGUUCAUUAAACGUUUUGAUCAUUUUGAUUAAACGUUUUUUUUUUAUAUAUAUAUAUUAUUUUAUAUUAUUUAUUUAUUAUUUAAAAUGUACACAAAUAUAUUGUGGGGGGAGGGUAGGAAGUUGUUUAAAUAUACAUAAAAUAUAUUUUCUUUGGAUAUUUACUCGUUAUCUUCCAUGUUUUUAAUAAAAGUAUGUUAAAUAAAUAUAUACAAUCAUAUACAGUUACUUUUUAGUAUUAUUUUUAUUUAUAUAUUAUAUUAUAUUAUUAUUAUAGUAAAUGUUUGCCUUUUGGAAUUAACAUGUGAUUAAUUGUGAUUAUAUGCUGUGUUUUAAUAAAGUUAAAUUAUAUUGCUGGCCUUGUAUGUCAUUUUUGCUCUUCAAAGUUUACACUUGCAUGUGUUGAUUAUACUUAAUUUACUGUUUGCCCAUAAAUAAUAAGGAUAUACGAUAUUUUAAAAGCAUUUAAAUACCUAACGUAUGACCAUUGAAAAAUGAACCCCAAAAUAUUACACGCAGAAUGGGGAAAUAUUUAUAAUCUGUCAUUGAAAAACAAGUUGUCCGAACGUCGUCUCACAGUUGCUCAAUGUUGCGCAACAACGUUGCUACAACCCUGUCGCCUCUUACAAUUCUACAAUUCACAAUGUUGCGCGCACGUAGACGGCGAUGUUGCCGAAGUAGAACUGCAACGUGCCACAGACGUCACAACGUAAAUGUGUUUGCUGGGAAUAUCCUUCAUUACAGUUAGAUAAAGAAUCACAAUGUUACAUUAAAUAGUAAAUAAACUCAUUUAACAUCGCUUGUAUAAAACAAAACACAACUAUAAAUCAUUGAACUGUUUCUAUAGAUGAAAACAGCUUAAAUUCUUAAAACAAACCUUUCUUCAGCAGAAUCACAUCAGA